GUGCUCUCCUCGGCAGCAUAUAUACUAAAAUUGGAACGAUACAGAGAAGAUUAACAUGGCCCCUGCGCAAGGAUGAUGCAAAAGACAUAUAUAUAUAUAUGUAUAUA